GAUGUAGCUCAGUGGUAGAGUGCUUGCCUAGCAUUCAUGAGGCCUUGGGUUUGAUCUCCAGCAUC
rnacentral:tRNA from 1 species